AACGAACGCUGGCGGCAGGCCUAACACAUGCAAGUCGAACGCCCUAGCAAUAGGGAGUGGCAGACGGGUGAGUAACGCGUGGGAACGUGCCUUUCGGUUCGGAAUAACUCAGGGAAACUUGAGCUAAUACCGGAUACGCCCUUAGGGGGAAAGAUUUAUUGCCGAAAGAUCGGCCCGCGUCCGAUUAGCUAGUUGGUGAGGUAAAGGCUCACCAAGGCGACGGUCGGUAGCUGGUCUGAGAGGAUGAUCAGCCACACUGGGACUGAGACACGGCCCAGACUCCUACGGGAGGCAGCAGUGGGGAAUAUUGGACAAUGGGCGCAAGCCUGAUCCAGCCAUGCCGCGUGAGUGAUGAAGGCCCUAGGGUUGUAAAGCUCUUUCGACAGGGACGAUAAUGACGGUACCUGGAUAAGAAGCCCCGGCUAACUUCGUGCCAGCCGCCGCCGUAA
rnacentral:rRNA from 1 species